rnacentral:rRNA from 1 species
AUUGAACGCUGGCGGCAUGCCUUACACAUGCAAGUCGAACGGCAGCACGGGAGCAAUCCUGGUGGCGAGUGGCGAACGGGUGAGUAAUAUAUCGGAACGUGCCCAGUCGUGGGGGAUAACGUAGCGAAAGCUAUGCUAAUACCGCAUACGAUCUAUGGAUGAAAGCGGGGGAUCGCAAGACCUCGCGCGAUUGGAGCGGCCGAUAUCAGAUUAGGUAGUUGGUGAGGUAAAGGCUCACCAAGCCGACGAUCUGUAGCUGGUCUGAGAGGACGACCAGCCACACUGGGACUGAGACACGGCCCAGACUCCUACGGGAGGCAGCAGUGGGGAAUUUUGGACAAUGGGCGCAAGCCUGAUCCAGCAAUGCCGCGUGCAGGGUGAAGGCCUUCGGGUUGUAAACUGCUUUUGUACGGAACGAAACGGCGAGCUCUAAUACAGUUUGCUAAUGACGGUACCGUAAGAAUAAGCACCGGCUAACUACGUGCCAGCCGCCGCGGUAA